UACAGAGGUCUCAAGCGUUGUUCGGAUUCAUUGGGCGUAAAGGGCGCGUAGGCGGCGGGGUAAGUCGGGUGUGAAAUCUCAGAGCUCAACUCUGAAACUGCACUCGAUACUGCUCUGCUUGAGGACUGGAGAGGAGACUGGAAUUCACGGUGUAGCAGUGAAAUGCGUAGAUAUCGUGAGGAAGACCAGUAGCGAAGGCGGGUCUCUGGACAGUUCCUGACGCUGAGGCGCGAAGGCCAGGGGAGCAAACGGGG
rnacentral:rRNA from 1 species